CUACGGGAGGCAGCAGUGGGGAAUAUUGGACAAUGGGGGAAACCCUGAUCCAGCAAUGCCGCGUGUGUGAAGAAGGCCUGCGGGUUGUAAAGCACUUUCGGUUGGGAGGACUGCUUCUAGCACUAAUAUUGUUGGAAGUUGACGUUACCUUCAGAAGAAGCACCGGCUAACUCCGUGCCAGCAGCCGCGGUAAUACGGAGGGUGCAGGCGUUAAUCGGAAUUACUGGGCGUAAAGCGCGCGUAGGCGGCUAGAUCAGUCGGGUGUGAAAGCCCCGGGCUUAACCGGGGAACUGCAUCCGAUACUGUCUAGCUUGAGUACAGGAGAGGAGAGUGGAAUUCCACAUGUAGCGGUGAAAUGCGUAGAUAUGUGGAGGAACACCAAUGGCGAAGGCAGCUCUCUGGCCUGAUACUGACGCUGAGGUGCGAAAGCGUGGGGAGCAAACAGGAUUAGAUACCCGUGUAGUC
rnacentral:rRNA from 1 species